rnacentral:rRNA from 1 species
ACGAACGCUGGCGGCGUGCUUAACCCAUGCAAGUCGAACGGAAAGGCCCUGCUUUUGUGGGGUGCUCGAGUGGCGAACGGGUGAGUAACACGUGAGUAACCUGCCCUUGACUUUGGGAUAACUUCAGGAAACUGGGGCUAAUACCGGAUAGGAGCUCCUGCUGCAUGGUGGGGGUUGGAAAGUUUCGGCGGUUGGGGGUGGACUCGCGGCUUAUCAGCUUGUUGGUGGGGUAGUGGCUUACCAAGGCUUUGACGGGUAGCCGGCCUGAGAGGGUGACCGGCCACAUUGGGACUGAGAUACGGCCCAGACUCCUACGGGAGGCAGCAGUGGGGAAUAUUGCACAAUGGGCGGAAGCCUGAUGCAGCAACGCCGCGUGCGGGAUGACGGCCUUCGGGUUGUAAACCGCUUUCGCCUGUGACGAAGCGUGAGUGACGGUAAUGGGUAAAGAAGCACCGGCUAACUACGUG